rnacentral:miRNA from 1 species
GAGUUACGGAGUUACGUGGACCACGGACGGGAACGAGCCCAUCAGAGCAGAAAACUCACUCAACUUGGUUGCCAUCCAGGAUCCUGAU